rnacentral:lncRNA from 1 species
CUGUCUUUUGCUUAUUAUUUUGUCCCAGCACCUAGCACACAGUACCUGAUACCUAGUAGGCACUUAAUAAAUAUCCAUUAAAUCUAUUCAUAUUUCCCCAGUCCCCUUACUUUACUCCUUUUUCUGCAUCUAUCCCUUUAUUGAACCCCUACACUUCCCAGCUCCUCCAUUAACCCCUGCAGAGUAUUCACUGACUGCUGGAACUACGGCAUCACUGAGAAGCAAGAGAUGGACUGACCUGAUAGAGGGAGAGCUGCCCCCUCCAGGAUGAUGCCACCAUCACAGGAGAACUUGGGCCAAGAGGUUCACUUAUUUGCUUAAAGUAUUAUCACCAGCACACUAAUAUUUUGAAAGGAGGAAUGAAUGACUUAAUGAAUGAACUGCAUGGUCUUCCUGAAGAUUAUGGUGUAAUACUAUCAAAGGUAUUGCCACUCAUUAUUGUUUUUAUCCCAAGUAAAUUCUGAAAAAAAGAAAAACCUUCACGACAUAACAACAUGGUAAGUCAAUUUAAAAUAUCAGUCAAAUUUCUUUAACAUUAUGACACUAUUUUGGUGUACUGAGUAAAUCUCAUAAAUCUCUCAUAAACCCUUCAGGCUUUAGGCAUUGGUUAAAUACUAUGUUUGUAAGGAUCUAUAGAUUCAUAACAGAAACUUGGGACUCUCAAAGGGAACCAAAGCAUCUGUCUUUCAAUUACAAUUCAUGCUGAUUAACCCACUCCAUAUUUAAGAAGGAAGCUGCAUGCCCUACUCGAAGGGAAAUGAGGAAAAAAAAUUCUCUACUAUAACUGUCCGACUCUAUCUUCAGCAGGAGC